rnacentral:rRNA from 1 species
UACGUAGGGUGCGAGCGUUAUCCGGAAUCACUGGGCGUAAAGCGCGUGUAGGCGGCUUGGCAAGUCGGAUGUGAAAUCCCGAGGCUCAACCUCGGAACUGCACUCGAAACUGCCUGGCUCGAGUCCCGGAGAGGGUGGCGGAAUUCCCGGUGUAGGGGUGAAAUCCGUAGAUAUCGGGAGGAACACCAGUGGCGAAGGCGGCCACCUGGACGGUGACUGACGCUGAGACGCGAAAGCGUGGGGAGCAAACAGG